rnacentral:rRNA from 1 species
GGAGGAACAACUGGGGCACCAACACCCGGGAUUCCACCAGCCCCAACAGCGUAUAAAAAAGUUGCAGCAGUUAAAAAGCUCGUAGGAAAUAAAAAAAAAAAAAAUAAUAAAAAAUUUUUUGAAGAAUAAUAAUAUAAUAUCAACAUUCUUCAUAUUAUUUUUUUUUUUAGUAUAUGAAAUUUUACUUUGAGAAAAUUAGAGUGCUUAAAGCAGGCAUAUGCCUUGAAUACUCCAGCAUGGAAUAAUAUUAAAGAUUUUUAUCUUUUUUAUUGGUUCUAAGAUAAGAAUAAUGAUUAAUAGGGACAGUUGGGGGCAUUUGUAUUUAACAGUCAGGUGAAAUUCUUAGAUUUGUUAAAGACAAACUAAUGCGAAAGCAUUUGCCAAGGAUGUUUUCAUUAAUCAAGAACAAAAGUUAGGGGAUCGUUACAAUCAGAUCCGUCAAUCUACC